rnacentral:rRNA from 1 species
CCUACGGGGGGCUGCAGUGGGGAAUAAUGGACAAUGGGGGGAACCCUGAUCCAGCCAUGCCGCGUGUGUGAAGAAGGCCCUCGGGUUGUAAAGCACUUUCAGUGAGGAAGAACGCCUGGUGGUUAAUACCCAUCAGGAAAGACAUCACUCACAGAAGAAGCACCGGCUAACUCCGUGCCAGCAGCCGCGGUAAUACGGAGGGUGCGAGCGUUAAUCGGAAUUACUGGGCGUAAAGCGCGCGUAGGUGGCUUGAUAAGCCGGUUGUGAAAGCCCCGGGCUCAACCUGGGAACAGCAUCCGGAACUGUCAAGCUAGAGUGCAGGAGAGGAAGGUAGAAUUCCCGGUGUAGCGGUGAAAUGCGUAGAGAUCGGGAGGAAUACCAGUGGCGAAGGCGGCCUUCUGGACUGACACUGACACUGAGGUGCGAAAGCGUGGGUAGCAAACAGGAUUAGAUACCCUGGUAGUC